AGACAGUAAACAAAGACUGGCAAACUGCAGUGAGGGAUCAUAUUUCUUACUUCCUCUCACUCUCUUUCAUUUCCAUCAUGAGUUUUUCCUCUCCAACUCCUCUGACUCUCUGCUGCACCAGCACAAACUUGCCAAUGCGCGUGAGCUUGCCUCGGGAGCCUAUGUGCUUAGCAUUCCGGAGGUAUCGUCACGCGCCCGCUUCAAGCGCACCCACGCCCUCUGUCGUCCGACCUACGUGAGAGUUUUUUCCCCACUCCUUCGAAUCAAUCGCGGGAUGCGCACUGUGACCUGUGAACGCGUGCGUUAGCGUGCGUGUGUUAUGAAAAAGGAAGAGGAAAAGACUGAGGAGGGUGAGUUUUAGAGAGGAAAACAUCUGUGUGUGUGUGUGUGUGUGUACGUGUGUUGUUUGGGUAAGGUCAGUUCAAUUCGAGUUCAGUUUCAGAAAAUUUAAGUCAUAUUUGACCCUAAUGAAAAAAACAUCUUAUAAAAAUCUGUCGGCCAGAGCAUGCAGUUAUAUCCAACCCAUUAAGAUAUAAUUGAGCAUGAAUCCUCUUUCAUCAGCAAAUGAACAGCAGUUUCAAUUUGCAUAUUGAAUGAAAUGCGGUGUGUGUAUGUGGUUGUGUGUGUCUGUGCACUUAUGUGUGUUGUUGCUGAAAGCAGGAUUUUCUUUGGAGAAACAUAACCUAGGUUGACAUCCACUCUAGCCUAAAGGCCUAAUCUAGUGUUUGUGCCAUCACAAAAGAGGAUCACAGCGUCAACGCAUUGUCCACAAUGAUAAUUGUAAAACAAAUGAAGACAAUCUUGACAUACACAUUUUCUAGACAACUUAAAUCUUAUUGAUCAUAUUUGCCAAGAUUUCUGAAUUAGUGCGGGCUUAUUCCUCAGGCUAUAAAGGCAUAAGUCUGGGAUAGUUCAUCUGUGGAAAUGUUUGUUCAGCCAUUCACUAGCUUUGUGCCCUUUGGUUCAGUUAUCCUAUGGCAAACAUCAAAUUAGGGCAGCUCAAGCAAACCCUAUGUGUAGCAGCUUCUGUCUAGCAGAUUUGAGUAAUCUGUUUUUAACUUGCUGACGGAAAGACACCAAGCCUUAUGAAUCUAAUCAGGUCAACAGCAAUUUAACCAUAAUCUUAUGUCACCAUGAGUACAAAGUUCCUUGAACUCUGUUAAGCAAUUACUUCUCAUAUUAACAUCCCUGUCUCACUUUUUAUCUCCUAAUAACACAUGAAGGUUGAAAAACUUAAAACGAAGGUAACCUUCUUUGCCAUUUGAACAAUAAAUAGCACAAGGUUGACAUCAUUACACUGUCAGUGUUUUGUAGAAGGAAGUGUUUGGUACUGAGUCAGGACUGAAAUUUAUUGUUUGGAUUGAAAUAACUAAGUUGCUUCCAUCAGUUAAAGGGAUAUUCCAGCGUAAAAUUAAUUUAGGGUCAAGUACACUGUAACACCGAGUUAGACACCCCCUCAACCAGUCUCAACUCAACUCAAUAAUCUCAACCAAAACGCCACUCUGUAGGCACAAAUAAUGUUCAGAACGGCACCUAACUUCAUCAACAGUACAGAUAGGGUCCCAGCCAUAGUACGAGCCUCCAAACAUCUUUUUAAUUUCGCCUAAUUUCUUUUGUAAAGAGACUAAACACAACUCACCUACUCUCUUCCAGCAGCUGCUUGUUUGUAGUGAGACCUCAGGCCAGUCCAUUACAGACUGCUGCAGGGGUGACACAGCUCAAGGAAGAACAUGAUCAUUACUUCAUGGAAAUACAAUCGGACUGAGACGCUAAGGCAGAAGAACUACCGCAUCUGUAGUGCAAAAUGUUUAAUAUGAUAAUUAUUACUUCAAGGAAAUGAUAGAGUAAUGAUCAUAAAUGUUCUUCCUUGAGCUGCGUCACCCCGCUGUAGUCUGUAAUGGACUGGCCUGAGGUCUCGCUACAAACAAGCGGCUGCUGGAAGAGAGUAGGUGAGUUGUGUUUAGUCUCUUUGCUAAAGAAAUUAGGCAAAAUUAAAAAGAUGUUUAGUGGCUAGUGCUGUGGCUAGGACCGUAUAUAUACUGUUGAUGAAAUUAGGUGCUGUUCUGAGCAUUAUUUGUGGCUAUAGAGUGGCGUUUUGGUUGAGGUUUGUUUAUGGCUCCUCAGAUUGCUGUGUAUUGCUAUCGUGCGGUCGUUACUAAAGUUGGUAAAACUAAAGAUGUAAGCAGUAAGCUACAUACAUCUCUCAAGGGGCUGUCCAAUUCUGUGUUACCGUGUGUUUGACCCUAAAUUCAUUUUACGCCAAAAUAUCCCUUUAAAGCACAAACAUAGAAUUUUAGCUGCAGUUCGGUUGAUUUAAUGUCUGUUAAAUCAACAUCUCUGAAGUCAUGUUACUAAUACGCUCUCACUUAAGAUGUAAAUAAAUAGUCCUUUUAUCAGGCAGAAAUUUGGAGGUUCACUGAGUACUUAUAUCAGCAUGACUUUGAGACUGACUCAAAAUAAUUGCAGCAUCAGUGUUUGUCAUUAAUAUUAGACACAUAACUCGGCACCAUAGUGCUGCUCAGCCAUGUGUUUUUAAUAGUUUUGGGAUCACAGUACAGUGUGUCAUAUAAAUAAGACAGUGGAUUGACAGAGAAUAGUGUGGUGUGGUUUGAGUGAAAGCCUGCUAGUUUAUAAUCCGUUUCAUUUCGAUUUCAGAGUGUAUUAUUUUUUGAUUGACUCCAUCUCAAAUUCACUACACAGCCCAAGGUCAGAUGAAACUCAGCCAGCUCUCAGUUCACUGACCAACAGACAAUACGACGCUUCUUCAUCAACCUUCUCUUUAACAACCUAUUCCUAAAAUCUCGCACACGGUCUCACUAAAUCGCAACAUAAAUGGGCAAUUGCAGCUUGUUCUUCAUAAAUGUAUGAAUACAUCAGUUAUGAAGCAGACACAUGCAUGAAUCCGGCUCUUAGAUUUUGAGGGACAAUCUGCUGAGCACUAAUUGUCAUGUACUUGUGGCACAGUUGGAUGUUAGAGCUGUAACAGUAAUGAUGAAACCCCUCAUUAGAAGCUUUCAGCCGCAGAAGUCCAAUCCUCAGACAAGUCUGCAUCAAAGGUGUUAAUGACUACAAGUAUGUCACCAUGACCUUGGUGGUUAUAACACUCUUCCACAGUCUUGUGUGAAUCACAUUAGCGACCACCUCUUGGACCCUCUGCAUUUCACCUCCUACGCAGACCAGCAGAUACAAGCCCAGGGAUAUGUGGAAGGAUCCUGCCUGGUGCUGGACUUUAGCUCAAUGUUCACUGCUUUGAUCCAUGAACCGCCUCACACUAAGCUCUCCUGACUCACUGGGCCUCCCUCCACCUGUCAUAGGAUCAGCAGCUUACAGAAAGGUAGGAGAAAGCAAAUGAGCCUGGCAAAAGCCAAAUCCAAUACCAGUGUUCAGUGCUGCUGGACACCAUGCGCGCUCGUCCCGCUUGACACACAAAUGAAUGUGUGCCCCUUCAAGGGAUCCUUUGCUAACCUUCUUAAGUAAGCAAGUAAAGCUUAAUAGUCUCGUCUCAGCUGCUGCUAGAAGUCUGCAGUCCAAGGGUUGGUUAAAUUGUUUCGACACAAACCAACACAGAGAGAAAAAUAUGCACACAGAAGUGGGGCUGAGGAUCACUCAGGAAAAAGUGCCUCCUUAGGUGCCAGGCCAGACUGAGGUUGGGUACAGAGUUUUGCAGGGAGGGCAUAAAUUAUGUGUAUAAAUGUGGAUGUAAAAAAUGUAUUUCCUCUUUUCUUUAUCCACUAACUUUAUGUACUUUGACUACUAACACCAAAGUAUGGUAAAAGAUAUUGUAGGAUUUAAAGGGAUAUUCUGGCGUGAAAUGAAUUUAGGGUCAAACACACUGUAACACAGAGUUUAGACAACCCCCCAAGAGAUGAAUGUUGCCGACCACUUGCUUCUCUAGUUAUACCAGCUUUGGUAAUGACUUUAUCUUUAUCAUUUCCUUUAAGUAAUAAUCACCAUACCAACCAUUUUGCACUGCAGACGCGGUAGUUCGUCUGUCUUAGCGUCUCAGUCUGAUUGUAUUUCCAUGAAGUAAUUAUCAUAAAUGUUCUUCCUUGAGCUGCGUCACCCCUGCAGCAGUCCAUAAUGGACAGGCCUGAGGUCUCACUACAAACAAGCGGCUGCUGGAAGAGAGUGGGUGAGUUGUGUCUCUUUGCUAAAGAAAUUAGGCGAAGUUAAAAAGAUGUUUGGUGAUGAGUGCUGUGGCUGGGACCCUACAUGUCCUGUUGAUGAAGUUAGGUGCUGUUCUGAGCAUUAUUUGUGGCUAUAGAGUGGCUUUUUGGUUGAGGUUUGUUUAUGGCUCCUCAGACCGCUGUGUAUUGCUAUCGUGCGGUCGUUACUUAAGUUGGUAUAACUAGAGAAGCAAGCAGUCAGCAACAUUCAUCUCUCAAGGGGGUGUCUAACUCAGUGUUACAGUGUGUUUGACCCUAAAUUAAUUUUACGCCGGAAUAUCCCGUUAAGAUGUAUCUAGUUACUAAUUAUAGGGAGAGUUUGGCUCUUUCAAAGUGAGAUUGUGGGUCAACAGCAAGUGUAUUCCCCAGUGGUGUACCAGUCAGCUGUAGUCUUUUUUGUUGAGAAACUGACUAGAGUUCAAACAGAAGCUACGGUAUCUACCACUGAAGAUGAGGUCAGUUUCUGCUUGUAACUCAGCUAACAUAAGGAAACUCCAACCCAAAUACCAAUGACGGUACAAGUGUAUGUUCUGUUUGGAACUUUUUCAGCCCAUAGCUAUAAAAAGCUCACUUGUUCUUGCACCUCUUUGGAAUGGACACAUAGUACGUGUUUCUCUGCUGUCAGUAGAAAAUAGAAAAACAAUAUAAGGAGAUAUAGGGCCAAAGAGAUACUCCUUACUUUAAAGAGCCAUCUUUAAGAAUGACUCUGUGGCUUGAACUGGUACCAUACUAAUUCAUGCAAGGCAAGUCAAUUUAUAUGGCUCAAUUCAACAACAAGGCAAUUCAAAGUGCUUCACACGAUACAGUAAAAAAAUCAUUUGAAGGUCAGAGAGGUCAGGGGUCAGAAAUAACCAUAUUGGAAAAAGAUAUUUAAAAUCAUUAAAUGGUGACAUUUAAAAUCACUGGAACGAGCUGUUAAAAUUAAAGCAAGUAAAGAAAAAGAGAGAAAAAAAAGCAAAACACAAGGUUUAAACAUGAUGUGGUAAGAGUUUUAAAAUAGAAGCAUAAAUGUUACAGGGCAGAGUUGUGUGAUAAAAAAUAAUUUAUUCUGUUUGCAGUAAUCAAAUCAAAGUCAGCUGAGUCUUCAACUAAGGUUUACAAAAACUGAAAAUUUUGGACUGGACACUUCUGCUAGUUCUCAAUAGUUGGAGCAUUAAAAAUUGAUCACUGCUUCUCCAUGUUUGGCUCUGACUCUGGCAACAGAAAGUAGAACUGCACCAGAGUGGUCUGUAUGGUUUAAACCGUAUGAGAAGAUCACUGAUGUAUUUUGGACAUGCAUGGUUUUCCCUUUAAAUAUCAGUUUGUAUUUGAAAUAUAUUUCUUAUAGAUCCUUGUGUAUCUGGUAUGUGAACACAGUCAUUGGCAAAGAAUAGCUGCGUUUACAUGGGCACAAAUAAUCGGAGUAAAAAUGUGUCAUGUAAACAUGUCGAUCAGAAGAUUCUGAUCCAAUUGGGCUCAAUCGGAAAUAAAUUGUAUUCCGAUCAAGAGGGGUGGUUUAUGCCGAUGGUUACUCCGAAACGCAUCCAUGUAAACACUUAUUCCGAUCAUGACUCUCUUAACUGACUCAACCUUCACUCUUUAUUUAUUGAGGCCAGUACAGGAGGUUUAGUUAUUAACACUCUGGCAUAAAACACAACCGCAGGUACUGUGUCUGCUCUUCUGAUAACAUAACAAGGCGUGCAUACAGAGUAAUGAUGUCACAUCUGCACGCACAGAGCAACCUUUGACAGAACAGUAAAAUAAGUACGCAAGGGCGCCAUCUAGUGACAUCUAACAGGGGGGAAAACUCCUGAAUUGGAUGGAGUGAGCCACUACUGAGUUUGUAGGUUUGUUGACAGCUCAGGCGUAAAUACAACUCUUCUUCUGCGGUUGUUUUAGCGAAAGUCGACAACUUAGCGCAUGUACAAAUGCUUCUAAUCUGAAUAAAGCUUGGUGCAUGUAUACGUACGUCAUGAUUGGAUUAUUUGAGUUGGCACCCAUAUAAACAGUGGAUUCAGAUUAUCUGAUCCCUCACUUUUUUAUUGGAUCAAGAAAUUUUGUAAACGUGGCUAAUGUGUUCAUUGUGAAAUAACUGAUGAACAAUAGAGGAACCGUCAAAGUUGGUGAAGCUCAAUGGCUCAAGCUGGUCCAGAACUCUAACUCUGUUGACGACCUGAGUCUCGUAGUUUGGAAGUUGUCACUUAUGUCACUUACAUCUGCAUUCUGUUGUUUAUCAAAAUGAGGUAUAGGCAUCAUUAAAUUGUAGCACGACUUAAUCUCAUCAGCAGACACUGCCACAGAGGUGGGCUGUAUGAGGUGGCAUGCCAAUUAGCAGCUUUUGUCAGUUAGAUGAGUCCUGCUAAUCAGCAGUUUGAUGCUUUUUGAAAGAGACAUGAAACGACUACUGUAACAGAGCUCAAAAGGGGGCCAAAUCAUUUGAGCUCUAACUGCAGCAGCAUCAGUCAAACAAUGUUAAAAUAUUUAACAGGUCCAGGGGAAGAGUCUCCAAAAUCGUGACAGGAUAUGCCAACACAGACAAACUGCGGUGACAAAGAAGAACAGCAGUCACAAUCUGAAACAAACCAACAGGGAUAUGACACAUAUAAAGUCUGGCUGUUAGAAGAUUUUCCAGUAAGCUAAAAGAGGAUCAAAAAUAAAUCAAACUGAGGGUUGACAAAUACUGCUAAUUGUCCUGCAAUCUCAUAUUCCCAGCUGUAACACUCUUUGUACUCAUAACCCCAUUAAAAUCUGUGUCUGUGAUGUUGUCUAUAUUUGUACAUUCUGUGUAAGGGGGGGCCAAGAAUAUAUGUACUGUGUAUUUACAGUGAUAAUGACAUGCUUUAUUGCUUGUGUACUGAAUCUAUACACUGUUUUACAUAGUUUCUGUGUUACUGAUUAAUUGAGGCAGUGCGCCAUAUGCUAAAUAGUUAACAAACAGAAGAUUGUACACAACUGUGUAGAAGAGAAAAGGUAGCAUGGGCGCACCAAAGUGCAAACAAAAUGCCUGAAAAUGUAAGAUUUCAAAAGGUCAAACGAUUAGAUUUAGUCCCGACAUCUACUAUAGAGUAAAAGGAGAGCCAAUUGACAGCCCUUUUCAAGUUGCUCUGAUAUUUACAGCUUCUUGUCAGAAUCACUGGCAAAGAGCAUCAUUUGACCCAACAAAGAUGAAAAACAACCUUGCAUAGCUUAACUGCAACCUCUCAAGUUUCCCCUGACUUCCAGAGUCAAAAAGUUUUUAAAUUCAUCUCACUGAUACUUCAUGCAUAUUGUCUGGCUCCAUUUUUCAUUUUUCAAGGCUCAGUUCCUCUGUGUGCAUGCUUCUACAAAACUUAUAUUGGGGGGAAUUUUUUUCUUUAAGUUUAUCCCACCAAACUGCAGCUUAUAGGUACUUUCGGUUGUUUUUAGCAGAUAAAAUCAACAAGAAGACAAGUUAACCCAAAACAAAGUCGAUGCAGGGCUAUGAAUUUUCCCCUCCUUCAGCUCCAGCGAGGAUAAAAACUAAUUAUGCUCUGUCUAGAUAACUUAACUAUUUUCUCUUUUGCAACUUUGACAUUUAACUUUCCCCAAAGCGAUAUGCCUUUGUUUACAAAUGGUAUCAUACUCUGUUCUUUCCUAUUUUUUCCUGUAUUACAUCCUGUUUCUGAAACCGCUUCUAUCAAUUUAGACUGAACUACAUCUUGUACUCUUGAGUCCACUUUGUAUUGGUUGUUGUACACUAACCGCUGACAAGCUCUUAUGCAAAUGUCCCAACGUGCCCCUUGAUAUUGUAGGCUUGUUAUGUUUAUAUAACAUCAGACUGGCCUCACAUUGCACUAUGGUGUUUACAUUCUGGGCUGUUUCUUAUCGGCAGGCACAAAUUCCUCCCUGAUACAGCUGGGGAGAAAGAACAGAAAAAGAGACAGAUGCAAGGGUAUGUGCUACGUUCUCCCUGGCUUGCCAUCCUCUGUCAAACUCAGAACUGUGCUGUUGCAACUACUCUGGAUAGGAUGGCUUUAAGAGAUGUGACUAAGGUGACACAUAGUUGCCUCUACCUGGAGUUUGAGUGUAUCUUGAGACUAGAAUUUUUUUGUGCUGGGUCACAGCCAAGAUAAUAGUUAAGUCUGACAUUGGAAUGUUAAAGCUGAACUUGUUGCAAAACUAAAACUUCCCACUGUUUCUUUUUUUAACAUCUGCAGGUAAGUACAGAUUCUGCUCAUAAAUGAGGAAGUCAUAAAAUUCAAGGACUGUGUGCAACCUGACCACUGAUGGUGUCUCAUUCCUCGAAAAAGUAUUACUGAUAUCUUAACAAUUUUUUUGUGUGGUUUGGGGAAAUUUCUGCGUCCAAACGUAAACCAUGUGUCAGUGUUUUUUCUGCUGUGAUGUUCAGGUCACUUAGAGACACAGUUGAUCCUGGUGCUCUCUGAUAUUUCUUGCACUCAGUGAUUUUCACAGCACAAUAAUUUGUAAUUGUAGGCAAAAAAGGCUCCACACACACACUGAGC